rnacentral:tRNA from 1 species
GGAUGUAGCUCAGUUGAUAGAGUUCUUGCCUCACAUGCAUAAGGCCUGAGUUCAAUCCCCAGCACCA